ensembl:snRNA U1 U1 spliceosomal RNA
AAACCGUUGUCUGGAAAAAAAAAAAAGAAGGUGGUUUUCCCAGGUUGAGGCCUAUCCCUUGCACUCUGGAUGUGCUGACCUCUGUGAUUUCCACAAAUUCAGGAAACUCAUCUGCAUAAUUUGUGGUAGUGGGGGGCUGUGUUCUUGGUUUCUCCUA